rnacentral:pre_miRNA from 1 species
UCCUAUGGGUGAGCGAAAAAGGUUUUUUUGAGAUGGAAUUUACUCCUGGAAAGACACUGUGAA